rnacentral:rRNA from 1 species
CCGCGGUAAUACGGAGGGUGCUAGCGUUAUCCGGAAUCACUGGGCGUAAAGCGUGCGUAGGGGGUGUGUUAAGUCUGAUGUGAAAGCCCUGGGCUCAACCUGGGAAUGGCAUUGGAAACUGGCUGACUGGAGUGCGGUAGAGGGUAGUGGAAUUCCCGGUGUAGCAGUGAAAUGCGUAGAUAUCGGGAGGAACAUCCGUGGCGAAGGCGGCUACCUGGACCAGCACUGACACUGAGGCACGAAAGCGUGGGGAGCAAACAGG